CCCCACCCCCUUUCGGACCAGAGA
rnacentral:miRNA from 1 species